CCCUCUGAAACGAACAAUGAAAAAGCUUGUAGCGGAUAAAGUGGUUGCACUAGUGUCCACACCCUCAUAAUUGGGGAUGUGGUUGUGUGCAGAGUGACCAAUCGCAUUCAAAAUCAUGUUCAGUGAGAGUCAGCACACACCUGCCACUGAUUCACCUCAAAUUAAGUUCAGAUGUUCUAGGAGGUCUUUUCUGACUUAUUUUUUUAUCCUUUUUUCACGUUAUGCAUUAUUACUCAACAUAUGUAUACACACUGCAUGUGGAAAACAAAAAAAUAUAUAAACAUUACAAAAAUACUUAUUCUCACUAAUAUUUUUUUACUGCAAGUCGCAAAGAAAAAAAAAAAAAAGCUUUGUACCCAGAUGUAUGACUACCGUAAUUUCACACGCUUUCAACCCUACAAUUUAUGCGGCUAAUUUGUGCAAGGGAGCACUCGAGCGGAAAAGGCACUUGAUCAGGGAUGUGUAGAGUUUCUCUAUUCACUGUACCUUGAAAAGGUUCUCCUUCUUUUUGGGGUGUGCGGUGCUCCAACGCGGCGGCGAGGCCGACUGCAGCAGAAUCUUGCUGACCUCCAAACCUGACUGCAGCUGAGGAACGGACGGGAAGAACAGCUUGACGCUCACGUCAAAAUUUCAGCUCCAGUUCAUGAAUCUUCACCUGAAAUGAUGUCAAUCCUGUUACUGAGCGUUGUGCAACAUCUUCUUCAUGUGAUCGAGCUGACGCUCCAGGCUCAAGCAGCGAGACUCUGCAGCCGCAAGCUGGGUCACUAACGCUGCAGAAAAAUAGAACAUUGGACUGAUUAUCCGUUACUCUCCAUGCAUCCAUCUGAGAAGUUGAAGUCAUCUUUGUCAUUCUAACGGCGUGCGGACGCGGCGUGUCUCUCCUCACGGGGUGUCCGGUAGUCUGUCUGCGGUUAUUCUCCAGCUCCAAC